rnacentral:rRNA from 1 species
AUACGGAGGGGGCUAGCGUUGUUCGGAAUUACUGGGCGUAAAGCGCACGUAGGCGGUAUAUCAAGUUAGGCGUGAAAGCCCUGGGCUCAACCCGGGAACUGCGCUUAUUACUGAUGAACUAGAGUCCGGGAGAGGGUAGCGGAAUUCCCAGUGUAGAGGUGAAAUUCGUAGAUAUUGGGAAGAACACCAGUUGCGAAGGCGGCUACCUGGACCGGUACUGACGCUGAGGUGCGAAAGCGUGGGGAGCAAACAGGAUUAGAUACCCCAGUAGUCC